rnacentral:rRNA from 1 species
UACGUAGGGUCCGAGCGUUGUCCGGAAUUAUUGGGCGUAAAGAGCUCGUAGGCGGUUUGUCGCGUCUGCUGUGAAAUCCCGAGGCUCAACCUCGGGUCUGCAGUGGGUACGGGCAGACUGGAGUGCGGUAGGGGAGAAUGGAAUUCCUGGUGUAGCGGUGGAAUGCGUAGAUAUCGGGAGGAACACCAGUGGCGAAGGCGGCGUCCUGGACCGGCACUGACGCUGAGGCACGAAGGUCAGGGGAGCAAACGGG